AAGGAUUCCCCUUUUGUAUUGUUGGCAUUACAAGAGGGAUACGACAGCAAAGUAGGGGGCCUUGCGGAUUUUCUUAAGACAUAUAAACGAGUGGUUGAGACGUUCUAUUGGAGAGGUAUGAAAAAGGAUCAUUCGGGCUUACGUAGCAACUUCUGCAAUCUGCAGAACAAGUACUCAACUUUGACACCUGCAGGGCUGCUCCAGCCAUUGUCCAUACUAGAAAAGGUGUGGGAUGACAAAAACAUGGACUUCAUCGAAGGAUUGCCAAAGUCUGAAGGGUUUGAUUCAAUCUAGGUGGUCGUGGAUUACUUAAGCAAAUACGGUCACUUUAUAGGUCUAAAAUAUCUUUUCUCAGCACCGUCUGUGGCUACAAUUUUUGUAAAGGAGGUCGAUCGACUGCACGGCAUGCUACGCUCAAUUAUCUCGAAUUGUGAUAAGGUUUUCGUCAGCAAAUUUUGGACUGAGCUCUUUCGAUUGCUAGGCACAAAACUGAAGAUGAGUUCGACCUAUCAUCCAUAAACUGAUGGUCAAACAGAAGUAGUCAAUAGGAAAAUAGAAACUUAUCUGCGCUACUUCGCGUCCAACAGACCCAAGGAGUGGUUUCGAUUCCUAGCAUGGGCAAAAUUAUCUUACAAUACAUCCUUCCACGCGUCUGCUCAAUUGACUCCUUUUUGUAUCUUGUAUGGAUGGGAUCCACUACCGAUAAUUUGUUUUGAGAAAGGCACCAUCGUUGUUUCUUCAAUUGAUCAUCAGCUAGUUGAACGAGAUCAGUUAUUGGAGGAGCUUAAGAUACAGCUACUUUGGGCGCAAUGCAAGAUAAGGCCCAUUGCUGACCAAUAUAGGCGGUCGGAAGAUUUCAUAGUUGGUGAAUUGGUUUAUCUAAAAAUGCAUCCUUAUCAUCGAAAAUCCUUGGCUCGCCGUAUCAAUGAAAAGUUAGCACCCAGAUACUAUGGACCUUUUGAAGUACUAUCGAAGAUUGGAAAAGCGGCUUACAGACUGAAUCUCCCUCCUGAAUCACUUAUUCAUCCUAUUUUUCACGUUUUCUAGUUGCGAAAAGCCAUUGGAAAAUUCCAUUUGAUCACUCAAUUAUCAUAGCACUUGGGGGCUGAUUGGGAGCUAAUGGUGAAACCGGAGUUUAUCUUGGGAGUAAGGACUGAACCAUCAAGAAUUGUUAACAAGUUGGAAGUGCUUAUUAAUUGGUUCGGGUUGUCAUCUUUGGAAGCAACGUAGGAGCCCUUUGAUCUCAUUAAUUACCAAUUUCCUUCUUUCCGUCUUGCGGACAAGGUGACUGAAUUGGGAGGGGUAAUUGAUAGACCGCCAAUCAAAUACACCUAUUCUAGAAGGGUCAAGAAGACUAUGGGGCAGCAAUAGAAUUUGUUAAGCAAGGGCAAAGCUGGACAAAAAGUUGUUAUAUAGGGGUUGUAAAUAGAAUAGCUGCUUGGUAGUAGAGGUAUGGAAUUAAGUGAAAAGAAGUGAUAUUAGGAGAGCGUGGCCCUCUCGAAUGGCCUCUUAGCUUUUUCCUUGUUGGCUGUAAUUCCAUUUAAUCAAUACAGAUGUCUUUUCUGUACUUAUUCCAUUUUUUGUGUUUGUUGUUACGGUCAAACCUUAUCAAAUUACAUCUUUGCUGUGUCUGCCUCUGUAAU
rnacentral:lncRNA from 1 species